rnacentral:rRNA from 1 species
GAUGAACGCUGGCGGCGUGCCUAAUACAUGCAAGUCGAGCGAACAGACGAGGAGCUUGCUCCUCUGACGUUAGCGGCGGACGGGUGAGUAACACGUGGAUAACCUACCUAUAAGACUGGGAUAACUUCGGGAAACCGGAGCUAAUACCGGAUAAUAUAUUGAACCGCAUGGUUCAAUAGUGAAAGACGGUUUUGCUGUCACUUAUAGAUGGAUCCGCGCCGCAUUAGCUAGUUGGUAAGGUAACGGCUUACCAAGGCAACGAUGCGUAGCCGACCUGAGAGGGUGAUCGGCCACACUGGAACUGAGACAGGGUCCAGACUCCUACGGGAGGCAGCAGUAGGGAAUCUUCCGCAAUGGGCGAAAGCCUGACGGAGCAACGCCGCGUGAGUGAUGAAGGUCUUCGGAUCGUAGAACUCUGUUAUUAGGGAAGAACAAAUGUGUAAGUAACUAUGCACGUCUUGACGGUACCUAAUCAGAAAGCCACGGCUAACUACGUG